UUUAAUUGAGUGCUAAAAGAAUGGAGUUUCAAAAAAAGUCUAUCUUGAAUUCAAAAAUUGAAUUUAUUUUUAUUUGUGAAGAAACAAUAAUUAAAAUUAAGGACAAGAAGACCCUAAGAAUUUUUAAUUUUGUAUAUAUAAAUAUAUAUAUAUACAAAAUUUUAAUUGGGGCGAUUAAAAAAUAUAGUUAACUUUUAAUUUUAAAAAAUGAUCCAUUAUUAGUGAUUUAAUGUAAAAAAUACUCUAGGGAUAACAGCGUAAUAA
rnacentral:rRNA from 1 species